rnacentral:rRNA from 1 species
CCCUAUGGGGUGCAGCAGGCUCGAGGCGUAGCGGAGCCUCCCGCGGCGGCACGGGCCGGGUUCUCUCCCACCACGCGAUCACCCGACCCGCACGAGAACCCCGUCCCGGCGCGCGGCAAGAGCGGACCCGCCCGGCGGCGGGGGCGCAAAACGGCGGCAACAGGGAGCGACACCAUGAAUUACUUUCUCACCGAGGAGCAGCAGUUCGUCCGGGAGAUCGCCGCGAAGAUCGCGCGGGAGAAGGUCCUCCCCGUGCGGGCGGAGCUCGACGAGGCGCAGGAGUUCCCAUGGGAGAUCGCGCGAAUCCUCGGGGAUUCCAACCUGUUCGGCCUCUACAUCCCGGAGAAGUUCGGCGGGACCGGCGGGGGGGC